rnacentral:rRNA from 1 species
AUGGGUCCUGAUGCUCGGGUAAGACAUUAUGAAUCUUGCGUUGUUGGAGAUUUGCGCUACAACACCCUUGCACGUGAUGAAGGCAGGAAGACACAAAACAGUGCCAUCAUGAGCACAGAUAAGUACGACAUAGAGACAAUUGAAAUGUAUGCUUACAUAACAGACAUUGUUCAGUUGCACUAUAUCUCCAGUUUCGAGGAUCAUCGGUGUGUGGUUCUAUUGUGCUGUCAUUGGUAUAACCCGUUUUCCAGGAUCGCAAAACCCAGAGCUGAUGAUUAUUUCAAAUCCAUCAAUGCCAAGGUGGUGUACCAGACCAACGAGCCUUUUAUUUUGGUAAAUGAAGCAACACAGAUAUUUUUCUUGGAAGACACAUUUGCACGUAGCGAUGACUGGAGAGUAUUGCAAAGGUUUGAGCAGUGGAAUUCGUUUAAUGAAUUUGCACAACAAGAUGAUGCUUACACUGCUCCUGAUGUACAAGAUUCCACAAAUGUUCCUAAUAUCUUUGAGAACCAUCACGUCAAUGAUGUUGGCGAAAAGAUUGCCUGUCGUGCUGUGGACAUAUAA